UACGUAGGGGCCUAACGUUGUCCGGAUUUAUUGGGCGUAAAGAGCUCGUAGGCGGUUCGGUAAGUCAGGUGUGAAAUCUCCACGCUCAACGUGGAGGCGCCACCUGAAACUGCCGUGACUAGAGUCCGGUAGGGGAGUGUGGAAUUCCCGGUGUAGCGGUGAAAUGCGUAGAUAUCGAGAGGAACACCUGCGGCGAAGGCGGGUUGCUGGGCUGACACUGACGCUGAGGCGCGAAAGCUAGGGGAGCGAACGGG
rnacentral:rRNA from 1 species